AUUGAACGCUGGCGGCAGGCCUAACACAUGCAAGUCGAACGAGUGGCGGACGGGUGAGUAAUGUCUGGGAAACUGCCCGAUGGAGGGGGAUAACUACUGGAAACGGUAGCUAAUACCGCAUACCAUCGGAUGUGCCCAGGUGGGUUUAGCUAGUAGGUGGGGUAACGGCUCACCAAGGCGACGAUCCCUAGCUGGUCUGCGAGGAUGAUCGGCCACACUGGGACUGAGACACGGUCCAGACUCCUACGGGAGGCAGCAGUGGGGAAUAUUGGACAAUGGGCGCAAGCCUGAUUCAGCCAUGCCGCGUGUGUGAAGAAGGCCUUCGGGUUGUAAAGUACUUUCAGCGAGGAGGCGUUACUCGCAGAAGAAGCACCGGCUAACUCCGUGCCAGCAGCCGCGGUAAUUC
rnacentral:rRNA from 1 species